rnacentral:sRNA from 1 species
UGCAUCUGGGGCCAGUGAGGAUGAGAACCUCCGGGGGCAGGAGGUUCGACUCGAGCGAAGCGAGAGAACGUUGCGUCAGCAACGGCCCGCAGGGCG